rnacentral:rRNA from 1 species
UACGUAGGGUGCGAGCGUUAAUCGGAAUUACUGGGCGUAAAGCGUGCGCAGGCGGUUUUUCAAGACAGAUGUGAAAUCCCCGGGCUUAACCUGGGAAUGGCAUUUGUGACUGGAAGGCUAGAGUGUGUCAGAGGGGGGUAGAAUUCCACGUGUAGCAGUGAAAUGCGUAGAGAUGUGGAGGAAUACCGAUGGCGAAGGCAGCCCCCUGGGAUGACACUGACGCUGAUGCACGAAAGCGUGGGGAGCAAACAGG